UACGUAUGUCACGAGCGUUAUCCGGAUUUAUUGGGCGUAAAGCGCGUCUAGGUGGUUAUGUAAGUCUGAUGUGAAAAUGCAGGGCUCAACUCUGUAUUGCGUUGGAAACUGUAUAACUAGAGUACUGGAGAGGUAAGCGGAACUACAAGUGUAGAGGUGAAAUUCGUAGAUAUUUGUAGGAAUGCCGAUGGGGAAGCCAGCUUACUGGACAGAUACUGACGCUGAAGCGCGAAAGCGUGGGUAGCAAACAGG
rnacentral:rRNA from 3 species